CAACCUGCAGAGAUACCUUGAUUGCAAAGGUGCUUUUCCUGGGGUGAGACUUAUCUAUUGCUCUCCAGAUGUGCUGACCCCUGUGAUUUCUCCAAAUGUGGGAAACUCAACUGCGUAAUUUGUGGUAGUGCGGGACUGCGUAUUAGUGCUGUCCCCUA